CGGCCUUAUUACAUUUAAAAGCCCAAAAACUUCAAACGUAAAUAAAAGGAUGUCUAGUUCACCAGAAGAAAAUCAAACUUUCAGAACGGGUGGCCACUCCAAAUUCCCUCACAGCUCCAAGCCCACUAUGGUUGGGGAUUUCCUGCGUGGAUGAAAAUAAAAGGGGUGAGUUUGGGGAAACUUAGUGUGUAAGGAAAACCCAUUCAAAGCCCAAGUCAGCUCAAGCCUAUUGGGCCUAAGCCCAUCCAGGUAACAGUGGUACUGAGCCAGAGCCCUUUUCAGAUUACAAUAAACUGGGCCUUAUCCCCUUAUUCAGAUAAUAGUAUGGCCCAUAGGCCCAUUUCAAAAUACAUGCAACAUCAGUAAAC
rnacentral:lncRNA from 1 species